GACAGAGGGUGCAAACGUUGUUCGGAAUUACUGGGCGUAAAGCGCGUGUAGGCGGCCCUGCAAGUCGGAUGUGAAAUCCCACGGCUCAACCGUGGAAGUGCAUUCGAAACUGCAGGGCUAGAGUCCUGGAGAGGAAGGCGGAAUUCUCGGUGUAGAGGUGAAAUUCGUAGAUAUCGAGAGGAACACCGGUGGCGAAGGCGGCCUUCUGGACAGUGACUGACGCUGAGACGCGAAAGCGUGGGGAGCAAACAGG
rnacentral:rRNA from 1 species